rnacentral:rRNA from 1 species
AUUGAACGCUGGCGGCAUGCCUUACACAUGCAAGUCGAACGGUAACGGGCCUUCGGGUGCCGACGAGUGGCGAACGGGUGAGUAAUACAUCGGAACGUGCCCGAUCGCGGGGGAUAACGAGGCGAAAGCUUUGCUAAUACCGCAUACGAUCUACGGAUGAAAGCAGGGGACCGCAAGGCCUUGCGCGGACGGAGCGGCCGAUGGCAGAUUAGGUAGUUGGUGGGAUAAAAGCUUACCAAGCCGACGAUCUGUAGCUGGUCUGAGAGGAUGAUCAGCCACACUGGGACUGAGACACGGCCCAGACUCCUACGGGAGGCAGCAGUGGGGAAUUUUGGACAAUGGGCGCAAGCCUGAUCCAGCCAUGCCGCGUGCAGGAUGAAGGCCUUCGGGUUGUAAACUGCUUUUAUACGGAACGAAAAGCCUUCUUUUAAUACAGGAGGGUCAUGACGGUACCGUAAGAAUAAGCACCGGCUAACUACGUG